UACGUAGGUGGCAAGCGUUAUCCGGAUUUACUGGGCGUAAAGAGCGCGCAGGCGGUCUGAUCAGUCGAAUGUGAAAGCCCCCGGCUCAACUGGGGAGGGUCAUUCGAUACUGUCCGACUCGAAGGCAGGAGAGGGAAGCGGAAUUCCCGGUGUAGUGGUGAAAUGCGUAGAUAUCGGGAGGAACACCAGUGGCGAAGGCGGCUUUCUGGCCUGUUCUUGACGCUGAGGCGCGAAAGCUUGGGGAGCGAACGGG
rnacentral:rRNA from 1 species